rnacentral:rRNA from 1 species
UACGAAGGGGGCUAGCGUUGCUCGGAAUUACUGGGCGUAAAGGGCGCGUAGGCGGCGAUCUCAGUCAGGCGUGAAAGCCCCGGGCUCAACCUGGGAACUGCGCUUGAGACGGGAUUGCUUGAGGGCGAGAGAGGGUGGUGGAAUUCCCAGUGUAGAGGUGAAAUUCGUAGAUAUUGGGAAGAACACCGGUGGCGAAGGCGGCCACCUGGCUCGCACCUGACGCUGAGGCGCGAAAGCGUGGGGAGCAAACAGG